rnacentral:rRNA from 1 species
AUUGAACGCUGGCGGCAUGCCUUACACAUGCAAGUCGAACGGUAACAGGCCGCUGGGUGCUGGCGUGAGCGGAACGCGUGAGUGUUACACCUAAGCGUAUGCCGGGGAGGGGGGGAACGCAGCGGGAACCGUGCUCAUAUCGCACGUGCGUUGUGGGGGAGAGCGGGGGGGCUAGUCGCACCUUUUGCUCUCGCAUCUUCCGAGGUCGGAUUAGCUAGUUGGUGGGGUAAAGGCCUACCAAGGCGACGAUCCGUAACUGGUCUGAGAGGAUGAUCAGCCACACUGGGACUGAGACACGGUCCAGACUCCUACGGGAGGCAGCAGUGGGGAAUUUUGGACAAUGGGCGAAAGCCUGAUCCAGCAAUGCCGCGUGUGUGAAGAAGGUCUUCGGGUUGUAAAGCACUUUUGGCAGGAACGAAGCGGUGUCAGCUAAUACCGGGCGCUAAUGACGGUACCUGCAGAAUAAGCACCGGCUAACUACGUG